rnacentral:lncRNA from 1 species
AAAUGGAAAGAUGGCAUAAAAUGAGACAAAAAUUAUUCUGAAGUGAAGCCAAGAAAAAGAAAAAGAAAAAGCAGCAAGUGCGGGUGACAAGAAGGGAGUAGAGAGAAGAAAAUGGCUGUGAUCACUGCCCACACUUACAAACCCUACCUCUCUCACUCUCCUCCCAAUCUUCGCCAUUCCUCUCCCAUUUCCGUUUCUUCUUCUCCAUUUCCGCUCAAAACAACUAUACCAUGCCUCGCCUCUUCCGCUCUCGCCGCCGAAUCACCUCUCACCGGUAAUCUCACCUUCGAUGUCUUCCGAUUACAUUUUCAGAUUUAAAUUUCAUCCAAUUAGGGUUUCUUAAACAUUUCAACUAACAUAUACCUUUUUAUAUUCUCUUAUUUAGUAGAGUAGAAAUCUUGAUUUAAAUAUCUGUUUUGAGUUUUGAAGUGGAUAUUUAGUGAGUGAUUUUUAUUUAUUUUUUGUUUACUCAAACAGCAAAAGUUGGAAAUGCGAAGAAAGAUUUUCUUCACAUAGAUGAUUUUGAUAAGGAAACUAUUUUGAAGAUAUUGGAUCGAGCUAUUGAGGUGAAGGCAUUGCUAUUGGUGGAGUGGCAACAUUUAACUCCGCAACCAUGUUCUCGUGUAUAAUGGACAUAUGAAAUGAAAUGACAUCAAUGUACAAGUUCAAUUUGGGUAAAAAUUAUAGGACAUUUUGUAAUUUAUGUUCUAGUCGGAAGAUCAAACAAAAAUGUACCAAAAAAGAAAGACAAAAAGUAGUACUUAAUGUGUAGUACAUGGGGAAAAAAUUAUGUGGCCCUUAGAUGCAAGUCUGAAUGGAUUAAUUUUAUUUUAUGCUCUUUUUCCUCAUUUCCUCUUUUAUAUGUAAAUGUUUCCUAUGCUUUAACUAUGAUUUCACAUUCAACGUUUAGUUAUUUUAAUUUGUCUUACCAUGCAAGUGUACUUAAUUACUUAAAACAGUAAUUACCUUAACAUUUCAUCUCUAAUAAAAAUUACAAUUUACAAACAAAGAACCAUUGCAUAGGGGGAGGCCACAAAUAAUGGAUCAGCAUGAUCUUAUCUUUUAAUUGAUUCUGUAAUUUAAUUAAAUAUAUAUCUUUUAGAACUAGUUUAGAUUAGGAGCCUUAUCCCUUAUUAAUCCGCUGUACUAGUACAGCAACUAAAUUAGGAUCGAUCUUAUCUCUUAUUAAUUGGUUGUUUGUAAAUUGUAUAGCUCCUAAAAUUCAUGUAAACAAAGAUUAUAGCUUCUAAAUAAUGUACCCCGCAACUAUAAUGAAAAACAUUGGAAAACCAAUAGCGUUUCUCUCUAUAAUUAGUGAAGAUUUUAUAUAUAAUUAGCUCCUAAAAAUUCGGUAUGAAAAAGAGGGGGUGGGGGUUGAUAUAAUUUGUUUGACAACUAACAAUGAUACACAUACACUCACAAUUUCUAUGCACCAAUAUUUCAACAUCCCAUUUUCUUUUUUUUUCGUAUAGACUUAAUUGCAGUUUUGGUCCCCCUAUUUUAACUGAAUCGCGAAAGUAGUUCCCCAUUUUGUUUCUCCCCAAUUUUGAUCCCCAAACAUAAUUUUAGUCCAAAACUUGAUAAAAUUUCAUUUUUUAAAGCUGUACUACACCAUUUAUGAUCAUAGAUUUCAGGUACAAUUGUUGCAAAUGGGAUCUUGAGUCAUGGUGUGACUUAAAUAAAUACAAAAAAAAAUGUAACUUUUUCAAAUUUUUGACCAAAAUUAUGUUUGAGGAACCAAAACUGAAGAUAAAUAAAAUGGGAGGAACUACUUUCGCGAUUCAGCUAAAAUAGAGAAAUCAAAACUGUAAUUAAACCUUUUAUAUAUCAAUUAAUAUCACAUUGCCCACAUAUCAUAUCACUCUUUUUAUUUCUUUAAAACACGUGUAUACAACCUAUAGUGUUAUACAAAAUAUUUUCUUUUGAAUAAGUGUAUGAAGUGAUAGUUCCUCUUCUUACUUUAAUCAAUCCUAGAAAUAAAUAUCAUAACUUAACAUCAUGUAUUUCCUAAUUCACCAUGUUCUCAAAUUUAAACAUUAAAUUAUACUCAGGCCAGAAAAACUUUCUAGUUAUGAAUCCAGAAUAGAACUGAUGGACGAUGCUUGGUUACAAUUUCAAAUCCGUUAUUAUAUGUUUGCUCUGGUUUUUGUUGUUUUUGAUGUUGAAACGGUCUUUCUUUACCCAUGGGCAAUGCUUCGUUCCUAUUUAUAGCCCAAAGUGAGUCGACAAAAGUUGAUGUAUUUGAUCAAAAAAUUGGACUAACAAGAAAACAUAGAUUUUUUGAGGGCCAAAAGCCAUCACAAAGGGAAAAAAAACAGCCACAAAGUAGACAUUUGUGGCGGCCUUAGGCAGCCACAAAUAAGGUGGUCACAAACCUUUGUGGCGGCCAAAACGGCCACAAAGUGUAAAAAUUUCAUUGUCUUUUGUGAGGACAAAGGUCGUCACAAACGCCUGAUUUUGUGAGGGCAUAGGCCGCCACAAAUGGCUCACUUUGUGAGGGCUUAGGCCGCCACAAAGGAUAGACUGAUUUUAAAAAGUUAAACUUUUGUGGGGACCCAGGCCGCCACAAAUGCUUCCCUUUGUGAGGGUUUAGGCCGCCACAAAGGAUGUUCCAGAUUAAAAAAUAAAUAUUUUGUGAAGGCUUAGGCCGCCAUAAAAUAUUAACUUUAUUAAAAAAUUAUUUUAUUAAAUUCGAAUUAAUAAUAAAUAAUAAUAUUAUAUAUAAUAAAUUAAUAUGAAUAUAAAUUCAAAAUUUAAAUUAAAAUUACAAUAUUAUAAUUUAAUUAAAAUUUAAAUUAAAUUAAAAAUAUAAUAUUUAAAUUUAAAUUUAAUAUGUUAUAUAUAAUAACCUAAUAUCAAUAUAAAUUAAAAAAUUUAAUUAAAAAUAUAAUAUUACAAUUUAAUUAUCAUUUAAAUUAAAUUUAAAAUAUAAUAUUUAAAUUAUAAUUAUAAUUAAAGAUUAAUUUAAAUUAAAUUUAAAUUUUAAAAAAAAAGUUAAAUAAAAAUUAAAUUUAAAAAUUAAAAUAACUAUUAUAUAUAAAAAUAUAUUAUUAAUAAUAAUUAAAAUAAUUACUACCAAACCAAAUAAAAUAUUCCAAAAUUAAUAAAUAAUGUCUUACAAACCAAAAAUUAAACACACAAUAAUUAACUAGCAUCGUAAUAACUUUGCGGCGAACCGUCUCUAACAGGUGUUGCGUCUAGCAUUAUUUUAGUCAUCAAAUCCAAAGCUAAAUCAGGAACAUGAAAUUGAGACUUUAGACCUAAUAGUCUAAUACACAUUGAUAACUUUGAGUUUGGAGACCCUUCAAACAACGGUUUAUUUGUCUCUUUCAAAAGACCAUAAAAUCUAUAAGCUUCUUUAUUCGGAAGUCAAUCGGUAUCGUCAUAUUGAUCUUCAUUGAAUGACAAAUUAACCCCAACAACAUUCGAAAUCAUAUCAUUCAUCACCUCAAAGUGUUGAUAGUUAUAAUAAUAUAUACCUAACAUGUUAGUACUACUUGAAGGACCCAUGUUAUUCUCCACACAUAUACUAGUAUUAGGCGCCGCCGGAGACUUUUCCCCAUGAUAAGUCUAAAUCCAGUAGAUAGGCAUAAAUUCAUAUGCAUAUAAAUGCACUCUUAUUUCAUUUUCACUUUUAAACCGUCUACAUCGACAUAAACAACAUAGACAUCUCAUUCACCCUUCAUCUUCGACAAUUUUCUGCACUCUCGCAAAAUUGAGAAAGUCUUCAACAUUGUUAGCAAAACGUUGUUUAAACCCUUCCUUCCACGAAAAUUCCUAUCGUACAUCCAACUACGUCUAUAUCCAUAUAUAUGUGUGUGUGUGUGUAUAUAUAUAUAUUGUAAAAAUUAAAUAAAUAUAUAAAUUAUGUGCAUAUAUAUAUCGAUGUUUUAUAUAUUAAUUGCUUUAUUUUUCAAAAGCAUUAUAUAUAAAUUUUGACAUACUUUAUAUGUCAAUUAGGGGAGCAUUUGCAAAUAAAAUUUUAAAUAAUGUUUAAUGAAAUUUUACAUAAAAUAAUUAACUUCUUAUAUAUAAACAAAAAUAGAGACUGUUAAAGUAUAAAUUUUUUGUACUAAAUCAACUACAACUCUUUUUAAUAACUAACAAAAAAUAUUAAUAUCAUCAAUUUUAAUAAUAUUUUUUUAAAAAAAUAGUUAUAUUAAAAUCAAUAAAUUUUACAUGUGUUUCAAACUUUUAUUUAUCAUAUAUUAUGUAAACAACAUAAUUUCUAUUUUUUUAUAAAUAAAUAUACAAUAACACAUAUUUUACUAAUCUAUAUUUUAAAAAUAAUAUAAGUAUAUUUAUAAUAUCACAUAUAUAUUUACUAAUCUAAAUUUAAAAUGUAUAAAAUACUAACUUGAUGUCGGGUAGUGUCUGACAUGAAGCUUUCACAGAGCUUAGAACUCUUCGAAGUAAUUAACACAAUAUGACCACUGUCAAAAUAAAAAUUCAACAAUAUUAAUUACAUAAAUAACUUCAAAUAAAAAAUAAAAAUAAAAAACUAAAUAUAUAAUAUAAUAUAAACUUAUCAAAAUUCAAGCAAGCUUGGAGGAAUAAUUUUUGUAGAGAGAAGGUGGAGAAAAAAUUUAGAAAGAAGGUUUAGAGAGAAGAUUGAAGUGAAAAAUGAUAAGAUGAGUGAAGUGAUAUUUAUAGAAUAUGGUUGAUACUUUGUGGCGGCCUGGGCGGCGACAAAUGACAACGUCACUUUGGGAUUUUGUGGCGGCCUUUGCAGCCACAAAAGGCAACGGAUCAGGCGUUUGUGGCGGCCUGAGCGGCCACAAAUGGCUUGCCUUUGUGGUGGCCUUUACCCUCACAAAGGGUUGAUUUUGUGGCUGCAAAAGCCCUCACAAAAAUCUUAAAAAUUUAGGUGGAUUUUGUGGCUGCCUAAGCCCUCACAAAAUCACAACGUUGUGAUUUUGUGAGGGCUUAUGCAGCCACAAAAUCCACUUAAAAUUUUAAGCUUUUGUGAGGGCUUUUUCAGCCACAAAUAAAGACCAAUUUUAACUUUUGUAUUUGUGAGGGCUUUUUUCGGCCACAAAAUAUUUGUAAACUUGGCCACAAAUGAGGGGAUUUCUUGUAUACAUCAACUUUUGUUGACUCGCUUUUGAUUAUAAAUAGGAACGGAAGGAGUACAACAUAAAAACAGCCACACAAUAUAGAUAUUGAAAUGUAUAAAGACUUUCAAUUUCGUUAAGCUAGGUUUACUGCACAAAACUCUAAACCAAAUUAAAAAUUAAAUUUCAUAUAGUACCUUUAAUUUUGCAGAUUCGUCGAUAAGAUCAAAGGUGCUCAAGUCCCUUAAUAACACGGAGGAGGAAGGCAUAAGUGUCCUGAUUUUCACAUGAGCACAAACAUAAAAACUGUAACUGGUGACUAUGGAAGGAAAAAUACACAGACAAGAACAAAUACUGUUUUACUCUUUUACCAUAAUACACCACACACCUUUUAGGCCUAGAAGGUUUGCAGGAGUUAUUGACUUCUAAAUCACUCGGGAUUUUAGUAGAUGAAACAUCUUUGGCCGAUGAAGCAUCCAAAAUGUCACUUCCUAUUGAUAACGAUGAAACUAACAAUUCCUGAAAGAUGAUUUAACAAGUAUUUAAUUUGUAUAGCUCUAUGCAGAUAGAUAGAAGGACCUCAUGAACUUGGUUUUAAUUCAUGUUAUUAUAAAUAUAAAAAGGUUCAUGGACCUUCAUUGGACAACUUGAGCUUUUAGAAACGAUGGCUAUCAACAUCCAAUAAGUGCAUUAAUCUCAAUGGAUUAACAUUUAGGUCAUUUUUGUCAUCACUUGGCUUAUUCUAAUCCAUUUUUCGUUCUUAGCCAAUGUUCAUCCUAUAGGUGUGUUUGUGUCAUCGGGUUAACAUUUAGUCAUUUUCAGCAUCCCUCGACUUAUUCUAAUCCAUUUUGGUUAAGAAGCCUUUAUGAACAACUAACUAUAAACCUAUAAACACUCAUUUGGAUUCCAGACAGUGAACUAUUACAAUAUCAGAGGGAGCCUUUUUAGAUCUAGGAGGUUAGUUGAUAAAUUCAAGUAUCUUAUAACUAGACAAUAUUUAUUACCUUUGCAAUCUCUGAAUUAACCAUUAGGACGUAGUAUUUUGAACUUUGUGAUAUAUCAAGAACUCCAGACCAAGAGAUGUUAAAUGAAGACAAAUGGAACAUUCGGGAAGUGGGAUAUUCAGGUGCAAAUUGGGUUAAAACUCCUAUUGAUAUGUGAUCUACUUCAUGAUAUUGUGUCUUAAUUGGAGUUAACAUUGUAUUUAAGAAAAAUAAGAAGUAAAAUUCAAUAAGUGCAUUAAUCUCAAUGGAUUAACCUUGAAUCUCCUAGUGUUGAGGCUCAGUAACAAGCUAUGACAAUGUUUAUUUGUGAGACGAUAUGGGAGAAACAGUUGCUUUGCGAGUUGAACUUAGAAAGUAUCAUCAAUUUAGGGAGAGUAUUUUGUAUCAAAUCAUAGCAUCUUAACUUCUCAUAAAACAUCUAAUUAGUGAGAGUAUUUUGUAUUAUAUUAGUUCGGAUUUGUGUACGUCUCCCAAAAAAUUCAAUAUAGUCAUUUUCCCAUUUCAGAAAUAAGUUGAAGUUCAGCAAAAGGUAAAGAUGAACUAGAGUUUUUCCAAUGCUUCAAAUUUUAGGAUAAUUGGACCUUUAUCAUACAUAAAUGCAUUAUCUCUUAAUACUAAGUUUCUCUAAAUAAAUAUCUAGAUAUUAAUUAAAAAGAUGCAAGAAACAACUUGUAUACACAUUAACAACUGGAAAGUCUACUCACACUUGGCAUAUUGCGAACAUCAUCAACUUCCAAAGCCUAAUGAUCCUCAUGUUUCGAAGAGGAGGCCGAAACACCCCUACUAUAUUUACACAAAGCAGAAAUUAAGGAACACAACAAUAUUAAUGCAAAAUCAAGAAAAACAAAGCAGAAAUCACACUAAAAAAAGUAUUACUCACGAGACUAUAUUAUCUGAUUUUUCAGAAUUUAACUGUGUACAAGAAGGACCAGGCAUAGGUGCUUCAUUCGAAAGGUCAAAUCUAGGCUCAGAUGAUGACUCUGCAUGACAUGCUUCCUGGAAAGAACGGACGACCAAAUAUAUACAUGCAUAAAUUUUGACUAAUGAAAUACAGACACAAAUCACAAUCAUGCUGGCUUUAGAUGUUAGAAUGAAGUAGUACGUCAUAGCUGAUUGAUUCAUAUCAACAUUGAGAUAUGGAAAUUCAACUCACAUUAGGUAUCAUAUUCACAACAUCAACCUCCAAAGCAUUAUGAUGCUCAGGCUUUGAUGAAAAGACUGAAACUUCCCUUCAUAAGAAUUAGUUCGGUUCAAAAGGCAUAAUUCAAUUUUUUUGUGAAGGUAGUUUUGGUUCGGUUUGGAAAAUACAGAACCGGUGUGCCGAACCUUUAUAUCCAUUUAGUUUGGUUUGUGACGAACCAUUGACAGUUAUGUUCAGUUUUACUGAAAUGGUGCAGUGGUUUAGUAUGGUUUUUUCCUGAACCGAACCAUGAACUGUUGUAGUUACCAAAUUGCUACUGAAUGUGGUUUUUUAUAUUUUUUUUUGCAACUUGCACAUCAUAUUGACUAUAGAGUAGACAUAGUCAAAUAAAUUUCUGUCUUUUAGUUAUAUUUCAAAGCUUUUGAUUUCAUGUAUGUACUUCCUAUAAUUAAUCUUCUUUUUGAUGCAGGUAUUGUUAUCUAGGUUAAGCUUCUUCAAGGAAAAGGAACUUUUAAGUUCAUAUGGAUCUGGCCUCCAGAAAUACAGGAAAUCUGCUGAGGCUGUUAUCUGUGGCCUUCUUCCAGAUUCUCCAACAGCCACAAAAAGCAGAACAAAUGGUAGUGUUCUCCCUGAAAACUAUCUGACGGCAUACUCACCUAUAAUCUUCAUUUACUUGUCUCCUUGCCCCAUUCCAUUUUUCACAUAUCAUUAAUCAAAUCAUAGGUGGAUAUCAUCAAACUAUUAAUUUAACAUCUGACUAGUUUUAUUGCCUGUGACAAUCAAUGCUCCUGGAUAGACACAAACUACUGAAAUUCCAUUUUUAGUAAUAUAUUUCUAUUGCUAUAUGUUCUCUAAUUAGAUUUUUGAUUUUAUUUUUCUUCAAUACAGAUGGUCUGAUAUGGGUGAGCGAGUGGAACUCUUUGCAGCAUCCUGUUGCAUCUGCAUUCUUAGCUGCUGUUUACAGUGACUAUAUGCUUACGUUGCAGACUCCCAAAAUAUAUUUGUAUCUUUUUAAUUCAUAUAUAUUUUGUCAUUCCAAAAAAUUAUAAUUUUUUAGAAAAUGAUAGUAACAUAGGUAUUUUUUUUAUAUUUAAUGAAAUAUAAUUUAUAUAUAAUAUAUUUUGUACAUAUAAGUUUUUUUUUCCUUUCUAAAUCGUAUGUCAUAAAAUUUUAUUUUUCAUCACUCUAUAUAUAUAUAUAACCAAAUUGUAAUUUAAAAUUGUGUUAAAUCUUUAAAAUAACAAACAAAUCCUAAACACAUUCUAAUUAAAAAUAUAAAUUAGAAAUCCUAAUAAUAUAUUAUUCUAAAUCUUAAAUAUAUUUAAUCUAAAUAUAAAUAAAAUUUUCUAAAGCAAAUCUCCACCAGUCGUACUCACUAUUUUUAGGGCGUAGAUUGUUGCAUACUUGCAUAUGACACAAAGGGUACAUUUCACACUAUAAAGGUUGGGUUUCUGAUCCAUAUAUCCUAUUUUGAAUUUUUUAUCUCAAAAUGCCCUAGUUUGAAAAAAAAUAUACAGAAAUGUCAUACUUUUUUGUCUCAAUUGUUUAUCGCAAUUUGGGGAUGCGAUCUCCUGAAGGAGAUUUUUUCUCAUUUUAACAGAUGGUUGUAUCCUGGGGAUGCGACCUUGUAGUGACAAUUUUUUUUUGUCAUUUAAAGGAUAUUUGUAUUUAUUAUUAAUUAUUUUUAUUAUUUGAAUAAUUUAAAAAGAGGAGGAAUUUGUUAUAAUAAUGUGUCAAAAAAGAGGAGGAAGUUGUUAUACUAAUUUGCCAAAUCGGGAGGAAGUUGUUAUAAUAAUUUGAUAAAACAAACAAAUAGGUGUACGUGUGUUACUGAUAUUUUGCCAUAAAAUAACAAUAUAUUUUCUUAACAACUUCCUUUAAUAGUAUUUUGAUUUUUUGACAAAUUAUUAUAACAACUUUCUCCUUUUUGGCAGGUUAUUAUAACAAAUUUCUCCUAAUUUUCUUAUCUAAUAAAUAAAAAUUAAUGAAAAUAAUAAUAAUAAUAAAAUAUAAAUUUGAUGGAUUUUUUCCUUCAAUUUUCUGUACUUUUUUUUUAAGUUAAUGUAUUUUAUUGGUUCAAUUUAACUAAUUUUAUUUUACUAAUAUAAUCUACUUUAUUAUUAUUAUUACUAUUAUUAUUUUUAUUAAAAUUUAGAAUAUUAUAAAAUUAUUAGUAUUAUUUAUUAAUGUAUUUUAUUAUUAUUAUUGUUAUUAUUAUAAUAAUAAUAAUAAUAAUAAUAAUAAUAAUAAUAAUUUAUAAUAUUAUUAAAUUUAUUAUUAUUAUUUUUUAUAAUAGUAUUUUGAUUUUUUAAUUAUUCAAAUAAUAAAAAUAAUUAAUAAUAAAUACAAAUAUCCUUUAAAUGGCAAAAAAAAAAAAAAAUUGUCACAAGGUCGUAUCGCAGGAUGCGACCAUCUGUUAAAAUGAGAAAAAAUCUUUUUCAGGAGGUCGCAUCCCCAAAUUGCGAUAAGCAAUUGGGGCAAAAAAUAGGACAUUUCUGUAUAGUUUUUUCAAACUAGAGCAUUUUGGGAUAAAAAAUUCAAAAAAGGGAUAAAUGGAUCAAAAACCCAUAAAUAUUAUCCAAGUUAGCAAAAUGAGAAUAAAAAUAAUAUACUUUAUACACUUUCAAUUUUUUUAUUUAACGGAUUUACAAUUUUUUUAUUUUUUUAUUUUAAAAAAAAAUGCAGACCUCUGUUUCUUAAUUUUUGUCAUUAUUUUCACGAUAAAUUUAGAAUUCCUUAGAUGGAAGUGUCAAAUUGAAUAAUAAAAUGACAAAUCAUUAAGAGACGUCACAACUCAUACAUAUUAGUUAAGUUAAAUUAAACUAUUAUUUUAUUAUUUUAUUAAUGUAAUAAACUUACAAUGAACGGUCAAAAAUUAGUUUAAUCGAGUUAAGAAAAUGAAGAAUACUAAAAAAAUAUUGAUAUUUCUUUUUAAAAUAAAAUGAUAUUUAAUUUGAAGGAAAAGUUUUAAACACUUUUAAUUUUGUACGAAGUUUUCUAUUUUAAUUGUCAACUUUGUGCAAAAAAAGAAUGUCAACCAAUUUAAUUGACUCAAUUAGAAGAAUUAAAUUCGUUCAUAACAUUAGUGGUUGACCAAAAUCACAAUUUAUAUAGGUAGUGAGAUUAAAAGUGUAAAUAAAAACAAUAAAAUAAACAAAUUGAAUGGAAACUGACUUGCAUAAUAUUGUAAUGUUCUACAGCAACUCAGCACAUAAUCCACCUAUUCCUUUUUUUUUUUUUAUGAUCUAGUUUUUCUUAGUCUGCCCCGUGUAAUCCUAAUGCUAUCUUCCAUUAUUGUUUCGUUCGAAGAAGGGUUUUCAUUUUCAUUUGCAGAAGAGGAUGUAGGGAGUGCUGCUUCAAUCUCCAUUGGCUCUGCGGCCUCUGCAGGUGCGGUUCGGUUACCAGUGUAGAAGAAUUCUUCUUCUGACUAAUUAAACUUGAUAAAGAGGAGAGUGUUUUUGGUACUUGAGAAGUACCCAACUCCUCUGCUACUUCCUUCUAACUUGAAGAUGGAAGAAGUGGGAGAAGUCGGAGCCUCAGCUUGUGGUGUUGUUUCAUCAUUUUAUGUAUAGAGUUAAAUUUAUAAUUUAUAAUUUAUAAUUUAAAAUUAUGUCAAAUCCUUAAAAUAAGAAAUAAAUCCUAAACAUAUUCUAAAUAGAGAUAUAAAUUAGAAAUUUUAAUAAUAUCUUAUUUUAAUUCUUAAAUAUAUUUAAUCUAAAUCUAUAUAUAAAUAAAUUUUUUUAAAGAUAUUUAAAUAUAUUAUUUUCAAUAAAAUAAUUAAGAUAAAAAAAACCAUAAGUAAGAAAAGAAAAAAAUAUGUAAAAGUUGACACUUGCCUGAAAUUAGUAUGGAUUUUAAUUGCACGAAAGACAACAUAUACUUGAAAAUAUAUACGACAUAGAAAACAAAAUAGGGCCGAAAUCAUGUCUUUCAAUCACCAUAAAAUCCCACUCUCAUAUAUCUAUAAUCUAAAAAAAAAGUUAGGGCACGUAGGAAAUUAUAUAUAUCCUUGCCCUCAUCAAUCGAACAUAAGAUUACAACUCCUUGGACACACAGCUAAUUUCUUUAAUAUUUGGUACUUUGUCUUUAAAUCUAUGCAAGAGGCAGUAUGAAUUGUCAUGGUACGUAGUACUUUUGAAUUUAGCAUAACGUAUUCGACAAAUUGAAGCUGACACUCUCUACCUCUACAAUUUGUAAACAAGCAAGUUUUAAGCUGACUUGAAAGACAUUCUGGAACUACUUGUGGGUCCUCCCAAUUUUCCUCAUCAAAUUCAUUUUCUAUCUCUUUCUCCUCCUGCAAACAUUCAAGUAAAUUUCCACCCAAACAAAAAGCAAAGUUAGGAUAUGUAGAGGUAGAGUUAACAAAAUAAAUCAUAAAAUCAAAUUAUCUAUAGAACCUCAUGAAUGAUGAGACGUUGAAGCUUGGGACUUUGUCGAAGCACUUCUAGCAUCCACCUCCACUUGUGAGGCCAGUCACGAUAAAUUUUAUAAUUAAUAAAGAUAAAAAAGUUAAAGAAUAGCUCCAUUUGAGUUAGAUUGUGAAAAGUGGGGACUUGGAAAGAGGAGGGCGAUUUCUGCAUGAAUUACAACCGCAAAUCAGACUAUUUUAUUUUUUUUUAUAAUGCAAAUCUAACAUAUUUCAGCACAUACAAAUAAAUAGAAAAAUAAAUUUAUUAUAAUUGAAGAAAAUAAUUAUGUAUAUUUUUGUGUGUGUACCUAAAUAAUUUAGAUUUGAUUUAGUGACCAUACAAGAUUUACUUUAAAAACCAAUUAGAAACUUAAUUCAGAAAUAACUUAUUUUUAUUAUGUCAAUCAAUUAAAUAAAUACUAUAGAUUAACUUCAACCAGAAUUAUUUAUUUUUAGUAAAUCAUAAUUAUUUAUAAAAUCUUACAUAUAAAAUUUAAAGAGACAAAACAUAAAAAUAAAAAAUCAUACCAGUUUUAGGGUUAGGACAUGUGCUCUAGAAAUCAAGAAGAAAGGGAUAGCUGUAGUACUAGUCGCUCUCACCAGAUUAGGCAAACAUUUAAUGAUUUCUAUUUCAUAACUGGAAUCUUUUCUUACAAGUAUACGAUUUGUUUGCAAUUCCUCUAGAGCUGGACAACCUAAGAGAAAAUCGAUAAUAUAUUUAGGAUGUCUGAAACGCACACUAUCCAAAUGGAGAGAUUUGAGUAGUGGAAUAUUUAUACGAGGAAGGUCUCGCACAAUUAUUUGUUUCAACUCAAGAACCGUAAGAGUCUUACAAGUGAAAAUGUUAGAAGCUAAUGUGAUAUGUAAAGAUUCAUACUCCAUGUCAAGAGCUAGGGUUUCAACUCUUCUUUGUAUUGCUGCAUUAAUAAAUUCAUCCAUUUGAUUGUUAGCAUUGCGUGCAACAAAACGUUGGAGGCGGAAUGAUCGAAUUGGUAGGGAGAUGUCACGUGAUACGGUGAUUGAGUAUAAAACACGACGAAAGACGGUGAUCUCUGAGAAUGGUUGGGGGAAGAAAUCCAGAUCGAGGACUGAGAGCCAUAAUGGUUUCCAUCUCUUUGAGAGGAUGCUUGUGGUGGCAGAGUGUUUCGUUGGGAGAAAAGAGAGAAUGUGACAAAUAAUUGAGUCUGGAAGGGCACUAAGCAUGUCUUCUCUUCCAAUCAACGACAUCGCAAUUGCAUCAAACGAUUUACUAUACCUGCCACCUUCAAUCGCACUAUGCUUUUGCUUUUAUAUACACAAACCCAAUAUAUCUACUAAUUCUAAAACAAAUCUCCACUAGUCGUACUCACUAUUUUUUAGGGCCAUAUAAAAUCUCGACAAAUUCCUUUUUCUUUUUUUUCAAAAUCUUAAUAACUAUUUUCAGGGAAUAUAAAAACUGAAAUAAUGUACCCUAAAAAUUCUAUUGGAAAAUGGCAUAUAGUACACGUGGCAAGCUACUUAAUUUAAUGAUUUCUCACAAUAUGUUAACAAACAAAAAAUCAAUUUAGCCAAAGUCAUAAUUAGGAAAAUCAAUUUGCAUAUUAUGACUAAUUCUUUUCCAUAAAUGUCGUACAAAUACUAAAUGUCAAAUUUUUUAAUAACAAUAAUUAAAUUAAUUCUUAAAUUGAUUCCAUUUAAUAUCUAUCAUUUCCAAUAAUUUUUAUUAAUCACUUUUUAACUAUUUUUACGGAAUAAGCAACUUAUUGCAAUCAAGGCUCCAAAAGCUAGUUUCAUUGAGGUCCCUCAUCCUGACGAGGUGUUGACUUAACUGAUAUGUAUGUUAAACUAUGUUUUUGGUAUAACACGUUUCUAAUUGACUUCUCACUCAACUGCUCUGUACUUCUUGAAGUACUUCUCUUCUGUAACAUUGCCACCCUAAAUUUGCUUAUAUUCUUUAUUACAAUGUUCUUGCUGCCCUUGCUUGUUAAUAAUAUUAUAUUUCAUUGUUAGUUUGAAGUCCUUAUUUCAGGAGUCUUAAAUUGAUAUUUUAUAUCCUCGAAGCAAGCACGAUCAAAGUGUCAAAUUGAAUGAUGAAAUGAUAAGUCACUAAAAGACGUUAGAGACUCACAACACAUAUGUAUUAGAUAAGUUAAAUUAAACUAUUGUUUUAUUCAUGUAAUAAAUUUACAAUGAAUGGUCAAAAAUCACUUUAAUCGAGUUAAGAAAAUGUAGAAUACAAAAAAAUAUUGGUAUUUCUUUUUAAAAUAAGAUGAGAUUAUUUUAAGGAAAAGUUUUAAACACUUUUAAUUUUGUAUGAAGUUUCUAUUAUAUAUAUUUAAAAGAGACUCUCGAUGUUGCCUCAUCAUAUAAAGUUUCUAUUGUAUGAUGUGUGUAUGUUGAGAGUAUCUUUCAAGAACUUCUUUAAUAUAUUUAAUCUCUAUUUCUACUUCUCCUUUUCAUUGUACCAUUUCUUUAAUACCUCUAAAAUCUAUUAAAUAAUAUUAUUUUAUAAUAAAUUUAUCAAUUAUAAAAUUAUUUUAUAAUAAUUUAUAAAUUAUUUUAAAAUUUAAUAAUAAUUUAUAAUUUAUAUUAUUAUCAAAUUAUUUUAUAAGUUAUUUUAUAAUAAAUUUAUAAAUUAAUUUAUAAUAUUAUUAGUCAUUUAUCAAUGGUAAUAAUUUAUAUUAUUAAUCAUUAAAUUCGAUAAAAAAAAACCACAUAAUCACUCAUAAAUAUCGUAAAAAUUCAAUUACUCAUUAAUGUCAAUCUAUUUAUAAUUACUUUCAAUUUAUGUCAAUCUAUUUUUUUAAGUAACAUUUUAUAAAAUAAAAAUAUAUAUUUUAUUUGACAAAAAAUACACAAAUUUAUUAAAAAUAAUCAUAAAAUACGAAUAUAUGAAAAAUUAUUAAAAAAUUUACUUUCAAUUAUUAAAAUACAAAAAUUUAUUUAAAAUUUAAUAUAUAUAAAUAUAUUAAAAAAAUAUAAUAAACAAAAGUUUACUAUAUAUGUAUUCUAAAUAAAUAUGAAUCCCUUCACUGCAAGAUUAGUAAAGAAAUCAUCUUCAGAAUUUAUGGACCGACUCUGACUCCUUGCCCAUUCCACAUAUUGUUUCUUUCCUCCAAAAUUCUCAUAAUUCAAAACAAUCAGGAAGCUCAUAAUUCAAGCUCAAAACCACUUUAAUCCCAUAUCUUCUUGCUUCAGCUAUUACAAAGUCCAAUCCCUUAAAUUUUAUUUUUAAUAUCCAACAAAGACAGAGCAAAUAAUCAGGAAUGAACAACUAGUAUACGAGCACAAGUAUAAUAAUUAUUUUUGUACAAAAAAUAAAGAAUGGAAAAAUUAUAGUAAUUAAUUAAAGUGACACUAAUAAGUAUUUUUCUGUAACAAUUAUUGUAAAUAAAUUUGAAUUUUGUUCAUUGAAAUUACAAUGUCAAAUUAUUAUUAUUAUUAUUAUUAUUAUUAUUAUUAUUAUUAUUAUUAUUAUUAUUAGUAUUAUUAUUAUUAUUAUUAUUAUUAUUAUUAUUAUUAUUAUUAGUAUUAUUAUUAUUAUUGUUAUUUUGGUCUAGUGUUAAAAAAUACCCUAAUGUUAAAAAGUUGGCAUUGGAAUUUCAAGCGACGUAAUUUAAAUAUCAUAUGAGACAAUUGUAAAAUAGUAAUUAAUAUCACUAUUAUUAAUAAUAAUUUUUCUUUCCUCAAUUAAAAAAAAUACUAUAAUUAUAAAAUAAAUUAAAGAUUUAAAAAAUGGAGGUGAAAAUUGAAGAGUAAAUGAAUUAACCUGGAACAUAUCCUCAUUGUAGGAUCCAGGAGAGUAUUGUAGUGGUUUAUAACCACCAUCACUAAAAGCCCAAGUAAUUGCUAUGUUAAGUCCAUGAUUUGAAGCCUCUUGAAACGUUGAUGAAACCUUGUUUCUUUGAGAUGGAUCAGAAGCAACAUACAUUAACCAAUAUGCAUUAAAACCAUUUGCAUAAUAGGGGCUUCCGUUUAGCAUAAGCUGCACUCCUCUUGUUUCCACAAACUCACUAUCUGCUUCUACGUGGAAUAGUGAUGAGAAUGCAUAGAAAACUAGAAUUAGAAAGAACUUAGGCUUCAUUAUUAUUUUGUUCUUUUACUUCACUCUUCCGUAUAUUAUAGUUUCAAUAUUUAUGAUGGAAAUUGGAGAAAAUACAAUGGGGGCUUGCCGGCCUAGCCUGGGGGUGGUGUAUAUAGCAACUAGGAACCAACCGCAAAGCCUCACGAUCACGAGUGACUAUUGGUACGUACAUGCGGGGCCACCAUAUGCUUUAUUUAUUAAGGUCACAUGAUAUCAUAUGAGUAUGCACUAUGGAAAAAGAAAAGUUUUCAAAAAACAUCCUAACACUUCAAUAAUACUAUGAGAUAAAAAAAAAAAUUAAAGAGUGAUUUAAUAGAUGAUAUAUAAUGGUGAUGUGAUAAAAGAGAUUAAAAAAAAUAAAUAAGUGUAUGAUAAUAAUAGGUGUAUGUAUGUAUCAUUGGUGAUGGAAAAAAUGUGUGGCAAUAAAAAUCAUAUGCCCCUAAUACCAUACUAAAGUUGGGAAUUUGUCUUUAAUUAUUUUUUUAAGUUAGGACAUCCUCGCAUUUGUGUGUAUUAUUUUUUUAUAUCGGUUUUCUUUAUAAAUCAAAUUGUCUUUAUUUAACUCUUAAUAAUUCAUUCUCUCUUAUUUAAAUAAUUUAUUUUAUUUAUCAAUAUUUAUUUAAAUACAUUAAAGUCAUCAAAUAGUAAAGUUAGAGAAUUUGUUUCAUAAAAAAUAAUGCUCCAAUCUAAGUAUAUUUAGACAAAAGUUUGUUUGAGUCAAGUAAAAGAGAGAUGUUUUAAAUUGUUUUUGAUUGAUUAUUCCACCAAUCCCUUCAAAUCCCCCAAAAUGGGAGAAUGAAAAUUCUACCAAUAUUCAAGUAAAGUGUACUUUUAACUUGAAUGUUUUAGCCUUAAGUAUCAUACAAUACUUUUAAAGGUAAUAUUCAUUUUGGCAUAAAGAUAUUGUAAAUAGUAAUUUGAAAAAAUAUUCGUUCAAGAUUUAAUGGUUCGAACUAGCGAUGAUUAAAUCAUAUAUAUUAAAUAACAUAUAUAAAUUUAUGGCAACAAAAAUAAAAAAGUCAAAAUAUGUGUUGUUCCAAGCAAAACAUAAAUUUUGAAAGAUUAAUAAAGUCAGGGGAAUUUUAUUUGGCAUAUUAAUAUUAGUAUUUAACAAAAUAAUAAGCCAGAAUCACUAAUUUGUUUUUUAACUAAGUAUUGGGCUAUGUAAUUUAGUUAACUAUUGGCCCAAGAAAGAAGGUCUUACCUGAGCUCAUAAUUUCUAAAAAGCCCUAAGUUUAAAAUUCAGUAGCCGUCACCAUAAGUUUUUACUCCUUAUUUUAUUUUUGUUCAUUUUUGUGUAACUUUGUGAUGUGGUAAUUUUUACUGGUUUAAUCAAACUCAUGGAUUUGAUUUUUGCUUCGGUAGAAUAUGACUCACCUACUGCAAUAUGCGAAGCAAAGAAGAUGUUUGCAAUGUUGGUCCAUCCAAAGAACAUGGUCGGAUAAACUAAACACCUUGUAGUUUCAGUUAUUUCUAUAAAAUCUGUCGUUUCCCUCCGGCUCAAAUCGCAGAACCAUCGGUUUUUAACGGUUUCAGCUGUUCAGAUCCGGUUUUUUUAAGUUCCGAUUUAGAAGGUCGUUUGGACUUGACAACAUACUGACUCCUGAUUGAACCGGGCCAACCGGCCAGUCUAGUCCGGUUUACAUUCAGUAUUUAUUUUCAAGGAAUUGUGUGUACCGUUUCUAUUUAUUUUCUAAGCAUCACUUUUAUAUACUUCAACACAAUUUUAAUUCUAACAUUAAAACCAAACAAGCACCGUAAGUACCGUUUCAAAUGAAUCCAUAAAUUAAAAACGUAACCAUGGUUUUCAAUGCAAUAUAAUAUAGAAUAAAUGAUUUUUCAAAGCAAAUGUAAAUAUUGUGAUCAGUAAGAGAUUAUACAAGUGGAAUGGCUAAAUAACUUUUAAAACUCAAAAUUCAUUAGUUUAUUUACUUUUUAAACAAAUAAUUAAUAAUAUAAUAAUAAUAAUAAUUAUUAUUAUUAUAUUUUAAAGUAAUAAAAUAUAUUCUCAAUUUUAAAUUUAGAUAUCAUAUUUAGAUUUCAAAUAUAGAAAUAGAUGUGAAUUUCUUCAACAUCACUAAUAAAAUUAUUAAUUAAAAUUUAAAAAUGUAAUUCAGCAAUUAUGAAAGAUUAAUAGUAUAUUUGGAAACGCAGUAUUUACAACUAAAAAUUAGCACAAAUAUCUACUUGAUAGUUAACGAAUUAUUGUUCUUAAAUAAAAGCGAGGACCUAAUUUUAGAUAAUAUGUAUUUUAUUAAAAUCAACAACAAAUCCACAUAUAAUUCAUUAAUGACAUCUUCCAACUUAAUCACCACUUAAUCUAGCCACUUUCUUCUCGAUCCAUUCUUUUUUUAUUUAGAGUCAGUUUUUAGUUUUAAAUUAUUGUUGUGUACUAAUUUCUUUUCUAGUUUUAAAUAACUUUUAUGUAUAUUUAAUAUUUUUUAAAUAAAUAAAUAAAUUUUAUGUAUAUUUAAUAUUUUUUCGUAAUUCAAAUGUCUUGGUGUAAUAUUGUUUUGUUUUUUUUUUUUAUCUUAUUUUAAUAUUUGUUUCAUUUAAAUUUAAUUUAAUAUAGAUUAAUUUAUAUUUUCACCAAUAUUAUAUCUCUAUAAAUAUAAAAUUUCAUAUAUUUUAAUUUUCAUCAUACUUAUAAAUUCUGUAAUAUUUGUAAUCAAACUUUACUUUUAUGUUAAUAAUAUUAAUAUUAUAAUUUUAUUUAUAAAUUAUCGUUUUUAUUUUAGUUUUUAGUGACUUUACAUUCUAUUGAUUUCUAUCCCUGCGUACUGAUUUGAAUAAAUUAAAAUGUUUUUUUAGUAAUGAUAUAUAAAUAUAUAUAUAUAUAUAUAUAUAUAUAUAUUUAAAAUAAAUAAAUGAAGUGACUUUAGUAGUGGGUAUAAAUAAAUGGAAAAAUGGCAUAAAAUGAGACAAAAAUUAUUCAGAAGUGAAGCCAAGAAAAAGAAAAAGAAAAAGCAGCAAGUGCGGGUGACAAGAAGGGAGUAGAGAGAAGAAAAUGGCUGUGAUCACUGCCCACACUUACAAACCCUACCUCUCUCACUCUCCUCCCAAUCUUCGCCAUUCCUCUCCCAUUUCCGUUUCUUCUUCUCCAUUUCCGCUCAAAACAACUAUACCAUGCCUCGCCUCUUCC